UGCGUCUGCCGAAGCCUGAACAACGGACUGCCAUCGGACACCCUCAGCUCGUGUCGAUCCGGAGAAUCCGAUCUGAAAUGAACACUGGACUUUACUAUUGAUUCAUGGUUCGAAAAAUAUGUCAUAUCAUAUUUAUAUCGACAUAGGCAGCCCUUUCGAGAAAACGUUCCUUGUUUAGCCCUCGUUUGAAAACUGCGAAAAUUGGAAGAUGUUUUUUGGAGUGAAGAAGAUGAAUUGCAACUGGGUAUAAAGUUCAGCUCAAAUGGACGGAUAUUGUGGCCUGGGAUAUGAUGAAGUGCACUGAGAACGUCCUCGGAAUUGAAAUGAAUAAAAUCAUAUCGCAUAAUAAAUCUUUUUGAUCUGCGUUGAGGAGUCUUUGAUGCUCUUUAUGAUCCACAGCUAUAUUUAUCAAGCAAAAUAGAAAGUUAUAUACAGAAUUGAAAGUGGUUUUAAGAGUGAUAAAAUUCUAAUUAUAGGAGAAGUGUCAACAAUUCUACUAUUGUAUUUUUAAGCUGAUAUUUUUGUGGAUUUCUGUAUGUCGUUUACCUGUUGCAAUUUUAUUAAAUCAGUUUUCUUCGAAAAUACUAUUGUGAGCUCCUAGUUAUACUUUAGGAUUAUCCACUAUAUGGUGAAGUGUUAACCAAAAUUUGUUCCUUCAUCCUCACUAAAAAUUUGAUGACGUCAUCUCACAAUCUUGAGAAGUAAGUCCUGUUUAGAAUGUGCACAAUUUAUUAAAAAAUAUAGGAUUAUACAGGUGAUUUCGAAAUAUAUGCAAUAAUUGUAACCACGGUAUCACGUACGGUAGUAAUAUGUCAAAGAGGUUAACCGAAUACACGACGACAACCAACUGAUACAUGACUGGCCCUUAUUGUGUUUUUGCACCUAGCUUAUCAGUGCGCCGCUUUUUUGGUUCUUAAUACUGGCCGUUCUGUGCUAUUCACUGAAUGGUAUUUAUGGUAGAUCAAGAAACACUAUCUAUAUAAUUUUUUUUUUAGAAACGUGAACUUUCUGCAGUGCAAUAAAUCUUUUUGUGAGCUGUUGCCCAUUUUUUUAUUGCAUACAUUUUGAAAUCAUCGUGUAUAUUUAUGGUUUAUUAAUUCAGAUUAUCUUACGCAUGCAGACUUAAAAAAACAAACCAGAACGUACAACAAAAAUUUUACAAUUUUUCCCAGAAAUUAUGAACCUAUUUGCUCCAAAAUUUUAUUCAUACUUUCAGGUCUGUGAAUAUGGUACGUAAAUCGCUAAUUUUCCUAUUUGUCUCUUCCAAGGACUUGAUGACGUCAUCUCAGAAUUUUGAAAUAUUUCUACAUUAUGUCAUUUAUUAGUCUACUCUUAUGUGUUAGAAUUGUGUAUACAGGAUGUCUCAAAAAACAAAAGUCUGAUGUACGAACGUCCACUCAACCGUUUGAUUAAUAACCUCCAGACGGUUGAGUGGACGUUCUUCCAUCAAACUUCCUUAUCGAUAUUUCAUAUUUUUGCUCUUUUAGCUUCCUUACCUUACAGUUGUGGAUAUCUCCGGCAUGUAG